rnacentral:rRNA from 1 species
ACGUAGGUGGCAAGCGUUGUCCGGAAUUAUUGGGCGUAAAGGGCUCGCAGGCGGCUUCUUAAGUCUGAUGUGAAAGCCCCCGGCUCAACAGGGGUGGGCCAUUGGAAACUGGGGAACUUGAGUGCAGAAGAGGAGAGGGGAAGUCCACGUGUAGCGGUGAAAGGCGUAGAGAUGUGGAAGAACAGGAGUGGCGGAGACGGCUCUCUGGUGUGUAACUGGCGCUGAGGGGCGAAAACGUGGGGAACGAACAU